GGAGAAGACAGCAGGAAAAAGGAACUAAACAAAUGUGUUUAUUCACAAACCCUCCUACCACGAGGAACUGGAAUCUCUGAUGGAAGGUUCAUCAGGGCUGGAACAAGCAGGGGAAGCAGAUUGAGAUGAGCAUUACAGAUCUGCCGUGCUCUGGUUUAUCGUUUGUUCCCAGCAAUACACAGAGGAUUGGGUUUGAGCCACGUCUCCACGUUUCCCUCCAGACGCUGUAAAGGUGCAGAGCUGUUUGGUAUUCAGGGAGUGCUGGAGGCUGAGGGUCACUCAAUAUUCCAGUGUGAGGAGUGGGUUGCUCAGUAUUCCAGUAUUGUAUGGAGCUGCAAUGAUUCUGAUGGAGCUUCUGGCAGAGAGAUUUAUCUCCAGGAUGGUUUUCCGAUCACUUCCAAAGACAGAGAUUGUGAUCCCAAUUGAAGUGGAAGUCACUUCUCAGCUUAAAGAAAUGUAACAGCCCUGAUCUAGAUG